rnacentral:rRNA from 1 species
GACGAACGCUGGCGGCGCGCCUAACACAUGCAAGUCGAACGGAGCUUAGAGAGCUUGCUUUUUAAGCUUAGUGGCGAACGGGUGAGUAACGCGUGAGUAACCUGCCCUAGAGUGGGGGACAACAGUUGGAAACGACUGCUAAUACCGCAUAAGCCCACGGUACCGCAUGGUACUGAGGGAAAAGGAUUUAUUCGCUUUAGGAUGGACUCGCGUCCAAUUAGCUAGUUGGUGAGGUAACGGCCCACCAAGGCGACGAUUGGUAGCCGGACUGAGAGGUUGAACGGCCACAUUGGGACUGAGACACGGCCCAGACUCCUACGGGAGGCAGCAGUGGGGGAUAUUGCACAAUGGGGGAAACCCUGAUGCAGCGACGCCGCGUGGAGGAAGAAGGUUUUCGGAUUGUAAACUCCUGUCGUUAGGGACGAUAAUGACGGUACCUAACAAGAAAGCACCGGCUAACUACGUGCCAGCAGCCGCGGUAAAACGUAGGGUGCAAGCGUUGUCCGGAAUUACUGGGUGUAAAGGGAGCGCAGGCGGGAAGACAAGUUGGAAGUGAAAACCAUGGGCUCAACCCAUGAAUUGCUUUCAAAACUGUUUUUCUUGAGUAGUGCAGAGGUAGAUGGAAUUCCCGGUGUAGCGGUGGAAUGCGUAGAUAUCGGGAGGAACACCAGUGGCGAAGGCGGUCUACUGGGCACCAACUGACGCUGAGGCUCGAAAGCAUGGGUAGCAAACAGGAUUAGAUACCCUGGUAGUCCAUGCCGUAAACGAUGAUUAAUGGGUGUUGGGGGAUUGACCCCCUUAGUGCCGCAGUAACACAAUAAGUAAUCCACCUGGGGAGUACGACCGCAAGGUUGAAACUCAAAGGAAUUGACGGGGGCCCGCACAAGCAGUGGAGUAUGUGGUUUAAUUCGAAGCAACGCGAAGAACCUUACCAGGUCUUGACAUCCGAUGCAUAGCACAGAGAUGUGUGAAAUCCUUCGGGACAUCGAGACAGGUGGUGCAUGGUUGUCGUCAGCUCGUGUCGUGAGAUGUUGGGUUAAGUCCCGCAACGAGCGCAACCCUUAUUGCCAGUUACUACGUUAAGAGGACUCUGGCGAGACUGCCGUUGACAAAACGGAGGAAGGUGGGGAUGACGUCAAAUCAUCAUGCCCUUUAUGACCUGGGCUACACACGUACUACAAUGGCGUUAAACAAAGAGAAGCAAGACCGCGAGGUGGAGCAAAACUCAAAAACAACGUCUCAGUUCAGAUUGCAGGCUGCAACUCGCCUGCAUGAAGUCGGAAUUGCUAGUAAUCGCGGAUCAGCAUGCCGCGGUGAAUACGUUCCCGGGCCUUGCACUCACCGCCC